rnacentral:lncRNA from 1 species
CAAAAGUGUCCUUGGGUGAAGGAAACAAGAAGGUAAAUGGAACAGCAGUAACAUACAGGUGGAAGGGGAACUUCUAAUAGAGCUGUUCACAGUUCUUGUUCUUGCAUAAAUCCUGGGCUUCUUUUAGGAGGUGGAACUGCUGCUCUGUCACUCUGUUUAUUUCACAUUUGUUUGGUGACAAGGAAUCAUUCAUUCUACAGUUCAACUAAGAAGCCCAUACAUAUUUUUACUUUAAAUCU